rnacentral:lncRNA from 1 species
GAGUGUAGCAAGGUCAUUAUAGUAGCCCUUUGGACAAUUGAAUUGUUUGUAGUUGCCUGACCGCCCAUUUGUAGGACAUGCCUCUGUUAUGGAAGGAUCACACGGUUGGCAUUUGGCAAGAAAUGGAAGACAAUAUAGGCACACAGAGGUAAAGAUUGAAACGCUCAGACUCAGUAGUAGCUUGUGCAUUCUUCCUUUCCUGUAAUGAAACAAGUGUUUUUAUUAGCCUAUGUCCUCAUUUUAACAGUUGAUUGAUUUUAUUUAUAGCACUGAAAGGAAAGAUUCAGAUCAGAUUGCUUACUGGUUGAUGAGAUUAUAGAGUCUGAGGACCUUGUGAAGAAGGUAGUUGUAAAGGCUUCCCAAAACACCACCAAGAAUGCCAAUUAUGGUUACUGGGAUGAUAUCCAUAACAUGGUAACUCACAGUAACAUCACUCACAUCAAACAUGAUCAACCCUCCUCUUCCAAAUAACCCACACUUCCCUGAAUUGCAUAGUUCUAUAAAAGCCCUGAGCACCACCACCACUACUGCUGUGCUGAAGAAAGUUCUCCAGAGAAGUGCACUCCUCCACCAUGUUGCUACCUCUUCAAGAGCAAACAAGACACCACCUACCGGAGCUCUGAAUGCUGCACAAACACCGGAGGAAGCACCACAUGUGAUGAUGUCCCGGCGAUCCCUGUCAUUGUUGAAAUACCGAAGCCAGCGCCACUUGAGACGAUAAUUAUCUGGCCCCCCUUGGCCUAGCAAGGAAGCAAUGCAGCUGGCAAUGUGUACCAAAGGUCCUUCUUUUCCCAAAUCUAGGCCAGCAGCGACAGCUCCAAUGCUCCCAAAUAUCUACAAUUGUAAAAAGAACAUCAAGCUAACUUAGAUGAACCGGCAAUUCAUUCAACUAAACACCAAAAAAAUUUGUCUCUGAUUACAAUUUGGACUUGUGCACUCUACCACUUCCAAGUCCUUUGGAUUUUCAUCAACUGUCAGUUCUAAAUACAGCAAAA